GACGAAGGAGGCAAGCGUUGUUCGGAAUCACUGUGCUUAAAGCGCACGUAGGCGGCCCUUCAAGCGUCUUGUGAAAUCCCCCGGCACAACCGGGGAAUGGCUGGGCGAACUGAAGGCCUUGAGGGAGGUAUGGGCAGGUGGAACUCUUGGUGACGCGGUGGAAUGCGUAGGUAUCAAGUAGAACGCCGGUGGUGAAGACGACCUGCUGGGCCUGUUCUGACGCUGAGGUGCGAAAGCCAGGGGAGCAAACGGG
rnacentral:rRNA from 1 species